GGGUCAGUAGGUUGGUCGUGCCACCGGUACGUACUGGUCUCACUGGUUCCUCCUUCCUGAAGAACCGUAAUGCCAUUAAUUUGGUGUUGCGGGGAAACAGGACUGUUACUUUGAAAAAAUUAGAGUGUUUAAAGCAAGCCAACGCUUGAAUACAUUAGCAUGGAAUAAUGAAAUAGGACGAUCGAUCCUAUUUUGUUGGUUUCUAGGAUUGACGUA
rnacentral:rRNA from 1 species